rnacentral:rRNA from 1 species
ACAGGAAGAAGCUUGCUUCUUUGCUGACGAGUGGCGGACGGGUGAGUAAUGUCUGGGAAACUGCCUGAUGGAGGGGGAUAACUACUGGAAACGGUAGCUAAUACCGCAUAACGUCGCAAGACCAAAGAGGGGGACCUUCGGGCCUCUUGCCAUCGGAUGUGCCCAGAUGGGAUUAGCUAGUAGGUGGGGUAACGGCUCACCUAGGCGACGAUCCCUAGCUGGUCUGAGAGGAUGACCAGCCACACUGGAACUGAGACACGGUCCAGACUCCUACGGGAGGCAGCAGUGGGGAAUAUUGCACAAUGGGCGCAAGCCUGAUGCAGCCAUGCCGCGUGUAUGAAGAAGGCCUUAGGGUUGUAAAGUACUUUCAGCGGGGAGGAAGGGAGUAAAGUUAAUACCUUUGCUCAUUGACGUUACCCGCAGAAGAAGCACCGGCUAACUCCGUGCCAGCAGCCGCGGUAAUACGGAGGGUGCAAGCGUUAAUCGGAAUUACUGGGCGUAAAGCGCACGCAGGCGGUUUGUUAAGUCAGAUGUGAAAUCCCCGGGCUCAACCUGGGAACUGCAUCUGAUACUGGCAAGCUUGAGUCUCGUAGAGGGGGGUAGAAUUCCAGGUGUAGCGGUGAAAUGCGUAGAGAUCUGGAGGAAUACCGGUGGCGAAGGCGGCCCCCUGGACGAAGACUGACGCUCAGGUGCGAAAGCGUGGGGAGCAAACA